rnacentral:rRNA from 1 species
GUUUGGCGGUAAAUUAGAUUCGUCCGGGGGAAGGUGCUCAUUAAAAAGAUGGUCCGCUUACUAGAUUACUACAGUUAAAUCAGUUAGUGUAUAUCCGUUUGUAUAUUUACGCCUAUAGGUUUAAGUGAGUAGUAAUUGUCUAAUUUAAGACAGGUCUAUAUGCUGCUAAUACUGUAGGUUGUUGUGCGUUACGUUUAUAAUGGUUAGUGUUGUAAUACUUGACAGUUGAGGACUCGGAAGUAGGAGUAUAGUAAUAUGGUACUUCGAAGGUUGAAAUAGUUUAUGUACACAUCGCCCGACAAUCUCGGUGGUGAAUUGAGUUAA